AUUGAACGCUGGUGGCAUGCCUAACACAUGCAAGUCGAACGGCAGCACAGUAAAGAUUUCGGUCUUUAUGGGUGGCGAGUGGCGGACGGGUGAGUAAUGCGUAGGAAUCUGUCCUGGAGAGUAGGAUAACCCGAGGAAACUCGGGCUAAUACUGCAUGAUAUCGAGAGAUCAAAGGCAGGGGACCCUUCGGGGCCUUGCGCUCUAGGAUGAGCCUACGUCGGAUUAGCUAGUUGGUGGGGUAGAGGCCUACCAAGGCGACGAUCCGUAGCUGGUCUGAGAGGAUGACCAGCCACACUGGGACUGAGACACGGCCCAGACUCCUACGGGAGGCAGCAGUGGGGAAUCUUGGACAAUGGGGGAAACCCUGAUUCAGCGAUGCCGCGUGUGUGAAGAAGGCCUUCGGGUUGUAAAGCACUUUAGUUGGGGAAGAAAAGUAAUGAGUGAAUAACUGAUUGCUCUGACGGUACCCAAAGAAUAAGCACCGGCUAACUCUGUGCCAGCCGCCGCCGUAA
rnacentral:rRNA from 1 species